AAGGCUAUUCAGUCCUGAUCUUAUAAGAACAAUUGAAAUGUUUAAGGCAGCAGCACCGUGUGACCAUAAAUUUUGUGUUGCAAGACAAUAAUAAAUGCCAUCCAGUGUACAGUCUAGCAGUUUGCUUACUGCAUUUGAUUGCCAGCAAAAUUUUCCAGCCCAAGUAUGUCUCUAAAACUACAUCAAACUAAACCUAGCCCUUAAUCCCGCUUAAUCCCUCUUUCCCUCUCCCAAUCUUCACGAGAAAUCUUAGCAUAGUAAUCAUUCAAAAUAAACUGUUCUUUUAAUCUUGUUCUGGGAAAUUUUUUCUUAGUUUGAUGUUCUGAUUACUUUGCCAUAACACAGGAUAUUUUUGGUAGCAGUGUAUUUUUAAACUAUGGCCCAAUUGGGGAAAAAUAUGUAAAUCUGGCAACUCUAUCAGUGAUCGUUAACCUAAUGGGCCUCUAUUAGUGCUUGCUGCAGAUCCCUUUUUUGUCCCACAGGCCCAAUAAUACAGCAAUGGAGCAGAGUGAAUAAGUGAGCGUACUAACCUUACAACUGUGCCGCAUUUAGACUUACUUCUGUCACUUAGCGACUUGGAAAUGUACUUCUUUGGCCAUUGACAAAAGGGUCAUGGGGACCUGGAGCCUAUGCCAGGAGGCUUAGGGCACGAGUCAGGGUACACCCUGGACAGAGUGCCAAUCCAUCGCAGUGUUGGAAGGACUAUUAUUGUUAAAAGAAAACCAAUUGGAUCAAAGAUUCACUAAAAAAUCACAACUCGUUUGGGGGGAAGUGAAUCUUCUCUCCAAACGAGUUGUUUUACUCACACGGCAACGAUUUCCACAGC